CGCCUCUUGACUCCCUAUAAAGAGGUCCAGCCUGCCCAAUGAUUCAUUAAAUGGCCGCGGUACCCUAACCGUGCGAAGGUAGCAUAAUCACUUGUUCGUUAAAUCCGGACUAGUAUGAACGGCUUCACGAGGGUUUUACUGUCUCCCUACUUUAAUCAAUUAAACUAAUCUCCCCGUGAAGAAGCGGGGAUAAAAAUAUAAGACGAGAAGACCCCAUGGAGCUUAAAACCCAGAACCAACUACUAACACUUCUCAUAAAAACACUGUAUACCUGGCUUCUGGUUUUUGGUUGGGGCAACCGCGGAGUAAAACACAACCUCCACGAUGAAUAAUAUACUUUACUAAAGAGCUACACCUCUAAAGAUCAUAAACACGACAUUUCUUGACCCAAGACCACUUGAUCAACGAACCUAGUUACCCUGGGGAUAACAGCGCAAUCCAUUUCAAGAGCCCCUAUCGACAAAUGGGUUUACGACCUCGAUGUUGGAUCAGGGCAUCCCAGUGGUGCAACCGCUACUAAAGGUUUGUUUGUUCAACAAUUAAAGCCCU
rnacentral:rRNA from 1 species